GUUCCUAUGAUUUCCCGUCUUGGCUGAUGGCUCAUUCAUUUGCAACGCAGUGCGCAGAGGUAUCAUCGUGGUUUCAGCUCAGUACAUCAAAAGUGUAUGGGAAGAUAAAGGAAUAGUUAAAAAUGCUUGAAAAUUAGAGAAGUUCAUCAAAAAUCACAGCGGAACGCAGAAAAAGGAUUAGACCAGGCAUUAUUUAAUUAUCGGAUGAUCAAUGACGAAUAAUUCUACAUGACACAAACGAAGACAUUAUUUUGUUUAUUUGUAUAAAUGCAUAAAAAACUGGUGUUUAUUUAUUGAUAAGAUCCUAAAUUCCUAUCCCCUGAAAUGUAAGCUUAAACAUACUAAACAUCAUAGUGUGUUAGUAUAUUUAAGCCGAGGUAUGUUUUUUG